GACCAGGGUUCGAUUCGAGCGUAGCGAGAAAGCGUUGCCGCAGGCAACGACCCGAAGGGCGAAGCGCGAAGCGCUGAGUAAUCCUUCCCCCACCACCA
rnacentral:sRNA from 1 species